AGGCUUGGUUUUCUGGGGGGUGGGCUCAGCCUGGCCCACCUCCCUUCAGACUAGUUUCCGACAGAGAUGCCCAGCCUCCUCUCUCACGAGAGAGGCAGAGGUGGUUAAGGCAGGAGCUUCACUCACCUGGGUUGUCCUUGCCUCACAUUC
ensembl:scaRNA